rnacentral:rRNA from 1 species
CCUACGGGUGGCAGCAGUGGGGAAUAUUGGACAAUGGGCGAAAGCCUGAUCCAGCCAUGCCGCGUGUGUGAAGAAGGCCUUCGGGUUGUAAAGCACUUUCAGUGGGGAAGAAAGCCUUGGGGCUAAUACCCUCGAGGAAGGACAUCACCCACAGAAGAAGCACCGGCUAACUCCGUGCCAGCAGCCGCGGUAAUACGGAGGGCGCGAGCGUUAAUCGGAAUUACUGGGCGUAAAGCGCGCGUAGGCGGUCUGAUAAGCCGGUUGUGAAAGCCCCGGGCUCAACCUGGGAACGGCAUCCGGAACUGUCAGGCUAGAGUGCAGGAGAGGAAGGUAGAAUUCCCGGUGUAGCGGUGAAAUGCGUAGAGAUCGGGAGGAAUACCAGUGGCGAAGGCGGCCUUCUGGACUGACACUGACGCUGAGGUGCGAAAGCGUGGGUAGCAAACAGGAUUAGAUACCCCGGUAGUC